UACGUAGGUGGCAAGCGUUGUCCGGAUUUACUGGGCGUAAAGAGCGCGCAGGCGGUCAGAUAAGUCGAAUGUGAAAGCCCCCGGCUCAACUGGGGAGGGUCAUUCGAUACUGUUCGACUCGAAGGCAGGAGAGGGAAGUGGAAUUCCCGGUGUAGUGGUGAAAUGCGUAGAGAUCCGGAGGAACCCCAGAGGCGAAGGCGGCGCCCUGGCUCGCAACUGACGCUCAGACACGACAGCAUGGGGAGCGAACGGG
rnacentral:rRNA from 1 species